CUCUUCCGAUCCCGAAUUCCAUAUAUCUAUACGCGGGAGUCAGACUGCGAGUGAUAAGAUCCGUAGUCGAAAGGGAAACAGCCCAGAUCACCAGUUAAGGUCCCCAAAUCUAUGCUAAGUGGAAAAGGAUGUGGAGUUGCGUAGACAACUAGGACGUUGGCUUAGAAGCAGCCAUCAUUCAAAGAGUGCGUAAUAGCUCACUAGUCGAGUGGCGCUGCGCCGAAAAUUUACCGGGGCUAAGCAUAGUACCGAAACUGUGGAUGUGCGUAAGCACGUGGUAG
rnacentral:rRNA from 1 species